UGCCCAGCAACUCCUAUCCCUACCUUCACGCGGUACCGGCCGGAAACUAUGAGCAACCUUAGGGAAGAUCGGGUAACCAACCCCGGUGGGAACUUUGGUCGUAGGCUGACAGGGAAGG
rfam:Aedes albopictus isolate Foshan contig6612, whole genome shotgun sequence.